GACGAACGCUGGCGGCGUGCUUAACACAUGCAAGUCGAACGGAAAGGCCCUGCUUUUGUGGGGUGCUCGAGUGGCGAACGGGUGAGUAACACGUGAGUAACCUGCCCUUGACUUUGGGAUAACUUCAGGAAACUGGGGCUAAUGCCGGAUAGGAGCUCCUGCUGCAUGGUGGGGGUUGGAAAGUUUCGGCGGUUGGGGAUGGACUCGCGGCUUAUCAGCUUGUUGGUGGGGUAGUGGCUUACCAAGGCUUUGACGGGUAGCCGGCCUGAGAGGGUUACCGGCCACAUUGGGACUGAGAUACGGCGCAGACUCCUACGGGAGGCAGCAGUGGGGAAUAUUGCACAAUGGGCGGAAGCCUGAUGCAGCAACGCCGCGUGCGGGAUGACGGCCUUCGGGUUGUAAACCGCUUUCGCCUGUGACGAAGAGUGAGUGACGGUAAUGGGUAAAGAAGCACCGGCUAACUACGUG
rnacentral:rRNA from 1 species